rnacentral:rRNA from 1 species
UGCAGUCGAGCGGACGUUUUUGAAGCUUGCUUCAAAAACGUUAGCGGCGGACGGGUGAGUAACACGUGGGCAACCUACCUUAUCGACUGGGAUAACUCCGGGAAACCGGGGCUAAUACCGGAUAACAUCUAGCACCUCCUGGUGCCGGAUUAAAAGAGGGCUUCUUGCUCUCACGAUGAGAUGGGCCCGCGGCGCAUUAGCUAGUUGGAGAGGUAACGGCUCCCCAAGGCGACGAUGCGUAGCCGACCUGAGAGGGUGAUCGGCCACACUGGGACUGAGACACGGCCCAGACUCCUACGGGAGGCAGCAGUAGGGAAUCUUCCGCAAUGGACGAAAGUCUGACGGAGCAACGCCGCGUGAGUGAUGAAGGGUUUCGGCUCGUAAAGCUCUGUUAUGAGGGAAGAACACGUACCGUUCGAAUAGGGCGGUACCUUGACGGUACCUCAUCAGAAAGCCACGGCUAACUACGUGCCAGCAGCCGCGGUAAUACGUAGGUGGCAAGCGUUGUCCGGAAUUAUUGGGCGUAAAGCGCGCGCAGGCGGCCUUUUAAGUCUGAUGUGAAAUCUUGCGGCUCAACCGCAAGCGGCCAUUGGAAACUGGGAGGCUUGAGUACAGAAGAGGAGAGUGGAAUUCCACGUGUAGCGGUGAAAUGCGUAGAUAUGUGGAGGAACACCAGUGGCGAAGGCGACUCUCUGGUCUGUAACUGACGCUGAGGCGCGAAAGCGUGGGGAGC